CCCUUUGAAUUAUAUGCACAGAGCACAAAAAAUGAACUACAAAUAUUUUUCCAUGUCAAACAAGAUAAGUGACGGAAUAUGAAUAAAUAUGCUUUGAAGGAGACUUCUCCAAUUUCAAAUUGACAGCUACAAAACAUUAUCAAGUUAAUCACUACAGAAUCAGAGCAACCCAAUCUACAACAUUACAUCAUCAAUGUCCCUUCAAGACUACCUUCAGUUUUUACAGAGGUUUCACUUCCUUCGACAAGAUUUUCAUGUAUUCGAGCCACCACACAAUCCAACCAAAGUUUUUUCUCCUCAUUGAGCUGCAUGUAAUAAAGAACCAUUCUCUAUGCUAGCUUCCAAAUUCCAGCCUCUCUCAGCAGCUUCUUUCUUCAAUUCCUCUAUCUGCAUUUCUAUUUUAGUACAUGCAGCUUGGAUUUCUAUAUUUUUGUGACAAAGCUCCUUCCAUUGCAUAGAUAAAGCAUUCAGCUCAUAUGCAGUAUUUUGCUGAUGAUAUUUCCUUUCCCGAUUCACAGCUUCAAUCUUUUCAUUUUGUUCCUGAGCUAACUUCUGCAUUCUGGAUAACAUUACUUCUAAUUGUCGGUUGUGUUGUAUCCAGACAUUUGGACCAUAUUUUGAUAUUAGGUCUAAAUUUUCCAACCUGAUAACUUGAUGCUGUAGCAAACGCUGUGCUCGCUGAAGUGCUUGCUUCCAAGCAGCUUCAUCAUUCAUCUUAUUAGCCAGAGGCAAAUCCAAGUGAGCAUAUCGUGAAAAAUCAAGAGUAACUGGAGGCUUUCCAGCUCUCACACGUUCAUAUUCUUUAGCAAGCAUUGGAUAAUUCUCGAAAUUGAACUUUGGAAGAGGAGGCAAGUCUUUCAAAAAAUCGGCAGGUUUCUUGGAGCUCCUACGCAUCUCUUCUUCGACAAGGCGAUCAACCUCUGCCUUAACGGAGGGAUCUCCAUAAUCGUCGUCGAUGUACGGCAACGAGUCUAUGAUUUCUGAAUUGGAAGAAUUCGACCAAGGUCGUGAGGCUUCCGGUGGUGCCUCCAGCAUCAGAAUUUCGCCGUUUCCGGUAGCCGCCAUUGGUGGUUGCUUUUGAUGGAGUCGCGC
rnacentral:misc_RNA from 1 species